UACAGAGGUCCCAAGCGUUGUUCGGAUUCAUUGGGCGUAAAGGGUGCGUAGGCGGCGAAGUAAGUCAGGUGUGAAAUCCCGGGGCUCAACCCCGGAACUGCACUUGAUACUGCUUUGCUUGAGGACUGGAGAGGAGAUCGGAAUUCACGGUGUAGCAGUGAAAUGCGUAGAUAUCGUGAGGAAGGCCAGUGGCGAAGGCGGAUCUCUGGACAGUUCCUGACGCUGAGGCACGAAGGCCAGGGGAGCAAACGG
rnacentral:rRNA from 1 species